rnacentral:rRNA from 1 species
AAUGAACGCUGGCGGCAGGCCUAACACAUGCAAGUCGAACGGAUCCUUCGGGAUUAGUGGCGGACGGGUGAGUAACGCGUGGGAACAUACCCAAAGGUACGGAAUAGCCUCGGGAAACUGGGAGUAAUACCGUAUGUGCUCGAAAGAGGAAAGAUUUAUCGCCUUUGGAUUGGCCCGCGUUGGAUUAGGUAGUUGGUGGGGUAAUGGCCUACCAAGCCGACGAGCCAUAGCUGGUUGGAGAGGAUGAUCAACCACACUGGGACUGAGACACGGCCCAGACUCCUACGGGAGGCAGCAGUGUGGAAUCUUAGACAAUGGGGGAAACCCUGAUCUAGCCAUGCCGCGUGAUCGAUGAAGGCCUUAGGGUUGUAAAGAUCUUUCAGGUGGGAAGAUAAUGACUGUACCACCAGAAGAAGCCCCGGCUAACUCCGUGCCAGCCGCCGCCGUAA